ACAGCAGUAGCCGCGGUAAUACGUAGGUGGCAAGCGUUGUCCGGAAUUAUUGGGCGUAAAGGGCUCGCAGGCGGUUUCUUAAGUCUGAUGUGAAAGCCCCCGGCUCAACCGGGGAGGGUCAUUGGAAACUGGGAAACUUGAGUGCAGAAGAGGAGAGUGGAAUUCCACGUGUAGCGGUGAAAUGCGUAGAGAUGUGGAGGAACACCAGUGGCGAAGGCGACUCUCUGGUCUGUAACUGACGCUGAGGAGCGAAAGCGUGGGGAGCAAACAGGAUUAGAUACCCCAGUAGUCCCUGUCUCUUAUAC
rnacentral:rRNA from 1 species